rnacentral:snRNA from 1 species
AUUUGAGUUUUUUUGAGUUUUUAAAU